rnacentral:rRNA from 1 species
AUUGAACGCUGGCGGAAUGCUUUACACAUGCAAGUCGAACGGUAGAGGGGGCAACCCCUUGAGAGUGGCGAACGGGUGAGUAAUAUAUCGGAACGUGCCCAGUCGUGGGGGAUAACGUAGCGAAAGUUACGCUAAUACCGCAUACGAUCUAAGGAUGAAAGCGGGGGACCGUAAGGCCUCGCGCGAUUGGAGCGGCCGAUAUCAGAUUAGGUAGUUGGUGGGGUAAAGGCUCACCAAGCCAACGAUCUGUAGCUGGUCUGAGAGGACGACCAGCCACACUGGAACUGAGACACGGUCCAGACUCCUACGGGAGGCAGCAGUGGGGAAUUUUGGACAAUGGACGCAAGUCUGAUCCAGCCAUUCCGCGUGCAGGAUGAAGGCCCCUCGGGUUGUAAACUGCUUUUGUACGGACGAAAAGGUUUCUAUUAAUACUAGGAGCUCAUGACGGUACCGUAAGAAUAAGCAACCGGCUAACUACGUG